rnacentral:lncRNA from 1 species
UAAUUCCUCUAUUUAUUCUUUGAUGAUUAUACUAUUCAACCAUCCCCAUUCACUCAACUCUAGGGGACCCACAUCAUCCUAACCACAUAUUUCUCAAUCCAAGAGCUAAAAAACCAAUAGCACUAAUAUCUUGAUGCUAUUGAUAGUAUUCCAGUUUAGUUUUUCGAUAUUGUUCUCUUAUCCAUCGAGUGGACACAAAAAUGAACGGGUGAAAAUGAAUAUUCUCAAAAAAAUGAUGAUAGGAGUCUUGUAAUCAAGAUCAAAAGUAUAGAUCUUGUUUUAAAUAGUUUAAAGAAUUUUCUAACAAAAAUUCAAUUGAUUUGGAUAUCUUUACACCGCUAAAUGAGAAAACGCCUCAUAUCGACCGUUAAAUUACAAAUUUUGAGACCCUUUGAUCAUUAAGCAAAAAAUGUCGAAAAGAUUUGAAAUUUGAUUUCUAAACACUUCAAGUGAUAUAGAUCAUGUUCAACGAUGUCGAUCGUCGAUUUGGAGGCUCCAUCAUCGAAAACAAAUGGGUAGCAAAAGAGCCCGUUUGCUAUUGAUAGUAUUCUAGCUCAAAUAGAGUUGAGCUGGAAUACUAUCAGUAGCAAACCGGCUCCAUUGCCACCCAUUUGUUUUCAAUGAUGGAGUCUUCGAAUUGACGAUCGGCACCGUUGAAUAUGAUCUAUACCACUUGAAGUAUUUAGAAACCAAAUUUCAAAUCUUUUCGAUAUCAUUGACCUAAUGAUCAAAGGGUUUCAAAAUUUGUAAUUUUAAUUGUAGAUAUGAGGUAUUUUCACGUUUAACGGUGUAAAGCUAUCCAAAUCAAUUGAAUUUUGGUUAGAAAAUUCUUUAAACUAUUUAGAACAAGAUAUAUACUCUCAAUCUUGAUUAUAAAAUUUCUAUCAUCACUUUUUAGAAGAUAUUCAUUUUCAGCCGUUCAUUUUUACACCCACUUGAUGGACAAGAGAAUAAUAUCGGAAAAGAAUAAAAUUUGAUUUCUAGAUAAUUUAAGUGGCAUAGAUCAUAUUCAACGGUACUGAUCGUCGAUUCAAAAGCUCCAUCAUCGAAAACAAAUGGGUGGCAACGGAGCUGGUUUGCUACCGAUAGUAUUCCAGCUCAACACUCUCUCUCUCUCUCUCUCUCUCUCUCUCUCUCUCUCUCUCUCUCUCUCUCUCUCUAUAUAUAUAUAUAUAUAUAUAUAUAUAUAUACUAGUUAAGUACACGCGCAAUGCAUGUCGCAUAAAUACCAAAAAUAAAAUUUUUAUAAAUAAAUAUUAUGGAUUCGAUAUAUAAUAUUUAAUCAUUACCAAAAUAAAACGAUAUAAAUAAGAAAUAGAAUCACAAUAUCAUCGAAGAAAGAACAGAAAAUUCAUCACGGAAUCGUCGAAAAAAAAUACAAAAUCCGUCACUAAACUAACUGAAAAUGUCACCAUUAUUUCAUUAUUUAAUAGAUAAAAAAUUUAAAAUAAAAGUAAAUUUUUAAUUAUUACUUAAAACAAAUUCUGUCUCCCUCCCGUCAUUACUUGUAUGAAAAUUAGACUGAAAGUAGGAAAAAUAAUAAAGUAAAUAUUAGUAAAUCAUCGGAAUAGAUAAAAUUAGUAAAAAUAUAUAAAUUUAAUAAGAAUUCAUGUAAGUAAAAAUUUUUACCUUAAUUUUAUUUCUUGAGUUUUUGGAAUAGAUGGAUUAAGCAUAAUUUUAUUCGCAAAACUUGUUACUAAAUAAAUUAAUUCUAAUAAAUAAAUUUAAAAUAAUACAAAGAAAUAAAAUAUUAAAAAAUAUAUUUAUCCUAAUUAUCGAUAUUAACGUGCACUGUUGUUAAUACAACAACUGAAUUGUUUGCAAUAGCAUCUCUUCACAUACCAAUGUGUGUUAGUACCAUCUUAUCCUAGAGGAUCAAUCUAAUCUGAUUCAUGCUUCAAAUUCAUCCAAAAUAUUUAGUUAUUAAUUUUUUUUUUUCAUGUGACAUGAUAAAAAUGGAAACACUUUACGUUUUAUCCAUUAUAAUAACUUCACGUUUAGGACGAUUAACACCAUACAAAUAGAGGGUGAUAUUUGGAUAAUCAUUCUUACAACAUCUUAAAAAACUGAAAUAGUAUAGAAGAUAGAAGUAUAGAAGGUGACAAAGGCAGCAAUGUGCCGACGCCGAUGAUGACGAUGACGAUAAGGAGGACGAUGACGAUGUGCCGGUACCGACAACGGGGACAAAUGAGAAAUGAUAUUAUUAAAAAAAUAUUUAAGAAUAUUUGAAAAAAAAUGUAGGUGCAAAUAAAAAAUGAUAUUACUUAAAAAAUAUAUGUUUUAUAUUUGAGAAACAUAUAUGUGAAAAUGAGAAAA